GCCCCGGGCCAGGCCUGCUCGGUGCCUGCACAACUGGCUACAUACCACUGCUUCUCCCUGGUCCCUUCGUUUAGCACCUACAGCCAAAUAUGGAUAGAUUAGUUGAGUUGUUUAAUUCAUUCAAAAGUAUUUUCCGAGCCCCAACCAUGUACCCAGCUCUAUAACGGAGGUUGCAGAAAUGAAGAGAGAAUCAAGGGGAGAUAAGAAGUGUUUGUAUAUUAAUGACUCUAAUCAAGGUGACAAAGAUAAGAGUGUUCAGAACUCUGGAGAUAAAGUGCUCUGAGUUUUGCACCCCUCAGCUGUCCUUCCUAAGCUCGUGUGAGAAUACUGGGUUGAAAAGCACUGUUUUCUCCUCUGGGCACCAAAGUACAGCCAGGACUGGGCCUCCACUCUGGGAAGGGCCAUGUGACCGUAUCUCAGCGCAUUUACUGGGCCCCUUCUCCACCUGGGCUCCUGCACCAGGAACAGCUCUUAGAGUUUCCAGCCUCCUGAGCUCUCAGUAUAGCAAGGAAAGUGGCAACAGAGAAUUCCAACUCCUACCAGUCCUGGCAUAUCAGCAGUACCUCCCUGGCCGUGGGCGACUGUGGAAAGGUUACAGGAGAGUCUGGAAGAACGUGCACAUCCCCAGUGCUCUGUGGCUGGACAGGCAAUCCUGAUUUCUCAAGCAGUGGCAUGAAAAGAAACCACCAGGAGGUCAGAGGCCUUGCUUACACACAGCUCAGAGGGACACGUGAGUGGGAGUCCUCUGAGAUGUCAAGGAGGCUUGGCCUUCCUCUGUGGUGACCCAAAAUGGUGUGAUCCCUCAUAGGAAACAGCUGAGGAUGGGGCGGUGCUUCCGUGAGAGGAGCUCUACACGUUCAAGCCACAGCUUCAACGUGCUUAAUGUCUAUCUGAAUGUGGCCCGAUGACACUGCCACCUUAAUAAUCUGCAUUAUUAGUGCGUCCACAAUACUCAUCAAGUAUGGCACAUGUUCAGAGUAGGAAGAUGACAUGGCAACAGGAAACACUUAGAAUUCAAAGACCUGGGUUUGAGUCCUGACACCUCCACUUCUUUGCUGUGAAACUUUGGACAAAUCAUUUAACCUUUGGAGCCAGUGCUUGCUGAACUGUAAAAUAAGGAUGAUAACAUUUGUCAUAUUUUUCUUGCAAAGAUCAAGUGAUAGACUGUCAAUGAAAGCCCACUGUCACUAUAAAUGGAAAGUAACAGUUGGUUAAAUACCUGUUGUCUUACAUUGGAGGAGAAAGAGAAAGAUGGAUGUGAAAAGAAACAGAAACUGUGAGCCCAUUUUCAUGGUUUUUACAUUAGUGGAAAUGACAGCGUGACCCCAGAGAACAACAGAAGAACCCUGGAAGAGAGAGACCCGCCGACAAGUUUAAAUGAAGGUAGGAUAAACCAAGUGGUAUCAAAAAGAAGGUGGGUAAGGAAUGAGAAGGGUCUGGUGGGAGAAAUGGAAGAAUUUUAAGAUUUGAAGGAAGGGAAGGACAUGUGCUGGUGGAAAGAGAAGGAGAAGGCGCUGGGUAGAGGAGCGUGGAUGGACAGGUGAGGAGGGAUGAGGAAUGUGGUCUGGGUGGGACAGCUGGUGGGGCUGUCAAGGGAGGUGGCAAGACAGGGUUCACGUGAAGUCAUGAGGAACCACGAGAGGUGGCCUUUCACACUGGAGAAUAACAGGACGAGAAAAAGAGUUUGAGGGAAGUUAUUCAACAGCUGGUGUCAGGGUGAGCUUGAGUGGGGAGUGGCUGGCUACAAGGGCUCUCCUGUGAGCCAAGUUUACAUUUAUAAGCCUCCAGGAAAUGGAAAGGAAAGGACAGAACAUUGUCCUUUUCCCCUUAAAAAUUGUUCAUAUAAUUGUAAGAAUUUAUUCUAAGUAAAACACAGAUGAUCAAAAACAUAGGCAGAGAUUGAUAUAUGAGAAUGCCAAUUUGUAUAUUAUUCAUCACUGUGGACCAUUAGCAUGACCUGGUGACGAAAGCUGAAAGGGACCCUCACGUUGGAUUCCGCCAGCCUGGAGAUCUCGAAGGGAGGUGAGUCUUUCUGUUUUGUGGUAGUCACCAGAGGAGCAAACCGAGGCUACAUCAACACCAUCUUGUGUUGUGUGUCUUAUGGUGGGUGUUGUGUUUACUCCAGAAUUCAUGGAAGUGAGGCAUAGACGGGCGUCUCUGACAGCACUUAUCUGUGGCAUGCAGUUUGGCACUCUGAGGAUAGUGAUUUGUGGCACAUUCCCUUGUGGUGAGCCUCCUCUCACUCCUGAGCUCACGUGCCCAUCGAGGGACAGGACUUCGGCUUAUUCACGCGGUAUUCCCGGAGCCGCGCAGAGCCUGCGUGGAAGUGCUGACUGAGGCGACACCCAGGGAGAGCGCGUCCUGGCCCUGGGGAUGGCUGCGUUUGGGGCAGAGGGUGGCAGCUGGCGCAGCGCCUACAUUUCCCACUGGAAGAGCCCAUUUCUUUUAGAAGAUAGAAGACCUUUGCUUCUCCUUUUUGUCCCUCCAGCUGAGCUAUUUAUUUGCUUGUUAGCACCUCCAGGGCAAAGAGGAGGAAGUGAAACUCAAACCCCUUUCAUUUGUUUUUGUUUUUUCAGCGUUUCUGACAAAGGUCUUGAUAGGGUAGGAGUCUGGGGCUCCUGGGUAACAUGAUAUUUUGGUCAGCUUUGUGGAUUCUAUUACUCCAGAUAACGGGCAGAAGCAUGAGAUCACAUCCUCAUUUCCAGUCAAAGAGAUGUCAGUCUCUUACCUCCAAAUUAGGGGGCAGUGGGUGAAAUAGUUAAGAGCCUAUUUUAGGAGGUAGCUGGAUAUGGCUAAGCCCACCUUUUCCACCCCUGAUAGAGAGUACCCCGCAUUUCUGUAGUUAAAACCCAAACAUUUUUGAUAAUUGGGCAAGUCAGACGGUUCACUACAGCAGAUUUUCUUAGAAACCGUAACACUCCCAACACCUGGCAAGCACGAAGGACAACAGCCCAUGCUGUUAGUUCUCUCUCUAUUACAGAGAGAACUGAUACAGUAGACUCUUGCAUGGUAGUUCAAAAUCCACAAAACUACUGCAACAUAUAAUUUCCCCUUUAAAAUAGAAUAAAAUUUUAAACUUCACUAGUGCAGGGGGUGUACUGUGUUUUGAGAGAGGGCAUGUCCUGCAAUCAACACAUUUUUACUACUUCAAGAGAAGCAAUAAACUGAGGGACUUCCUAAACGCUGCCCGCUCAGGGCGAAGGAUUCUGAUAACUGCAAGUGCGGACGCUUCUCGCACCAUUUGGGAAGUGUCUAAGGUCUGCCCUAAUUUUAACAGGAAAUACAAAGGCACAAACCUGCAAGGCCUCAAAUCCUUUCUGUAAUAUUUUAAAAAGUUAAGGAAAUAGUCUGUUUUAACGUGAGCCCAAGGAAAGAGGGACAGUUUGCGUAGUCUUUCGGGUCUUAGCCCUUUCUGGGUUAUCUGAGGUGUUAGCAUGCCCUGCUUCAUGAGUGUUCCCUGACAUCACAGACCUUCAGCUGUACCUGGACAAUCAGGUCCCACAAGGGACGGAGAAGUGUGUGACUUACUGAUGAGUCGGGAAGUUUGACUAGGUUAUUGGUUCUCAAAGUGUGGUCCCUAGACCAUAGCAUCAGCAGCACCUUGGAAUUUGUUAGAAAAUGCAAAUUCUCAGGCAUCCAGACCUACAGAAUCAGAAAAUCUGGGAUGUGGCCCAGAAAUCUGGAUUUUAAAACUCCUCCAGGUUAUUUAGAUGUAUACCUAAGCUUGAGAAUUACUGGACUAGAUAACUAGGACCAUUUUCAACUUUGAGAUUCUACUAUCAUCUGACUCUGGGAGAAGAAGAUUCUGAAUGUUGAGGCUGGAAUUAUGCUGCUAACUGAUGGUGAAGCAUGAGAGUGCUGCAAGCAGGAGAUAAGUUUUCUUAAUAAACAUAUAUUUUAUAUGCAUAUAUUGCUGUGCAUAAACAAAUAUAUGCUCAUUUAUAAGAAUUUUGAAAAUACAGAAAAAAUUUAAAAAUCACAUAGAGGUAAUAACUGUUAAACUUUUUGAUAUGCUGUUUUCAGUUUUUUUCCAUGCUUAUAUCUUUUUAAUAAAAUUGAAAUCAGCACCUUAGUCAGCUGUUUUCAUUUAACAGUU